GGGAGAGUGCCCCCUACUGAGCCCCCCAACCCACUCCCCACAGCAUUGCGCUCCCUAGCUGGGGGUGGGGGGCCAGGGGCACACACAUGGAAACCACCACUCCGCCUUUACAUCAAAAUACCUGACAAGCCUUUAUUUAAUUAGUUAAUUAAUCAACACCAGACGGACAGACGGGGGGAGGGCGUUACUGAAUGGACUGAUGGAAGCAGGGGGAACCAGGGGGGUGGGGGGCAGAGCUAGGGUNNNNNNNNNNGGCCAGAGCCCUGGGGACAAUAAGGGGCUCAGAGCUGGGACACUGGGGGGCAGAGCCCGGGUGGGGAAUAAGGGUCUUGAAGCAUGUCGGGGGCGAGCUGUCACCCUAAUGGGGGGGGCAGUUGGCUUGUGGGGGAGAGACAUGGGGCCCAGAGAUAAGCCGGCCUGCAGAGGGAGGGGUCAUUGGGGGGGCAGAGACUGGGGGGCUAGGAGCAAGGCAGCCCCUCCUCCGUGCCCACAGGCUGGCUACAUUCAGAGAUGGACGGGGCAGGGGGGACGUAAGCCCCUCCCCCGCUGCAUUAGCACUCACUGGGCCCUGGGGGAGGUGUCCUCAUUACUCAGGCAGAUACCUCAGCAGGGGCUCCCCUCCAUAUGCCCCCCUCCGCCCCCCAACAGCUGCCUCCUCCUCCUCUUCCUCCGUCCUCUUGGCCCGCUGCAGCUGGGGUGCUCCCGCCUCGGGGCCCUCCCCGUCGCCCCCCAGCCGCUUCACGCGCAGCAGGGUGGGGGGUUCUUCCUCCAGCCCCCGGCGCAGGCGUCUGGGGUGGCGGGGGGGUCGCAUCUCACCACCCCCCGCGAGGAUCCGGCCCACCAGGUACCUGCGAGCCAGAGGAAAAACAGAGCUAGAACCCAGGCGUCCGGGGUCCCAGCCCCUCCGCUCUAAUCCCCAGCCCCCACUCCCCUCCCAGAGCCAGGGGGAGAACCCAGGAGUUCUGGCUCCCAGCCCCCCUGCUCUAACCACCAGCCCCACUCCUCUCCCAGAGCCAGGGGGAGAACCCAGGAAUUCUGGCUCCCAGCCCCCCUGCUCUAACCACUGGACCCCCCUCCCCUCCCAGAGCCAGGGAGAGAACCCAGGAGUCCUAAAUCCGAAAGCCCUACUGGGGCACAUGGCCUUUUCCCUCUAGGGGGUGCUGACCCCCAUGCUGCCCCAGUGGGGUGGGACUGGCUGCCUCAGGGGGGUGGGGAAUGGGGCCUGGGGUCCAGCCCUUCUCCAAGCACCUCAGCAUCUCUGCAUCCAUCUCCCCAGGCUCCUCAUCACCCGGCUCGUCCUGGUGGUUCUCGUAGGCCCCAUCCGUCCGGUAACGGCUCAGCUGGGGUGGGGCCGGGGCCCGGGUCCUGGGGGGGGCAUCUGCCCCAGUCUCAUCGUAAUCGGGGUAUGAGGCCCCCCUAGCCUGGUCCCACAGCUGCAAGAGAGAGGCCAGGGGGACCGAUUCCUGGAGGAGGCGCUGGAGAGCCAGGGCGGCCUGGGCCCCAUCCUGCCUCCAGCGGCCACCGGGGGGCACCUCCUGGAGCCACGGGGUGCCCCCUGGCUCGUCCUCCCGCCACCGGCCUGCAGGGGGAGCCCCCAGCCUCUCCAGCGCCUGGGCCAGCAGCUCGUCCUGGGCCAGCGGCCCCAGCCGGGGGUAGUAGAUCUCGUUGGCCAGCCCCGUCUCCCCCUCGUAGGGAGCCCCCCGCAGGUCCCGUCGGAAUCGCCGAGGGCCCCCAGCUGAGUCGUGGGACAGCGCCCCCCUGGGGCCGGCGGGAAGAGCCUGUGGGGAAAACACCGAGAGAAAGAGGUGGAGAGGUGAAUGGACGGUACCCAGCGUACCCAGGCUAUUCCCAGUGAACCCAGGAGUCCUGGCUCCCAGAAC
ensembl:lncRNA